UAGAUGAAACCUACUAAGGUA
rnacentral:snRNA from 1 species